UUAGAGUUGUGUGAGUGCCGUUUCAGCUUCCACGAGCUCCUCUUUCUCUUACUCUCGUAUCUUCUCUCUCGCCGGAAAUCGCUCCGCCGCGCCGGAGGCGGCGGAGCCCGAACAAAACCGAUAACCAAACACCUAUCCUCACUCCAAUCACGCCCUCUUUUCAAAUCUCUAACCCUUUCGGACCGAUUCCGCAAUGAAUUCCUUAGACCUAAUGCUCAAACGAAAACCCUAGAAGACUAAGAAAUGAAAUUGCAUAGAGGCGAGGGAUAUAUUCAAGUUGAAGCCAUGGGGGAAAUGUUCACGGAUCGUUACUCUACAUAAUAACAACAAGAACAAGUGAAGAAAUGAAGAACGCAGACUCAGAGAGUUUACCUGAGGUGCGAGUUGAAGAUGACUGCGGAAGAAGACCAGAGAGGAGAUAAUAAGAGCCCCGAAUGCGCAAUCGAUGAAGAAGUCAAUGAUUCAGGUGUGAAUUGAAGAUGAUGAUGAUGUAUGAAGCUAUGAAGAUCCUGGAACUCACUGGAGGUGCUGAUUAUUGAUGGUGAAGAUGAUGAAGAAUGAUGUAGCCGAGAGAGUGAGAAGUGAAGAGGGAGCUUGAAGCACUGAGAAUGGAAGCAUUGUGGAGGUGGCGAUGAAGUGGGGAGAAAAAAUGGAGAAUGAGUCGAGAGUGGUUAUGGUUGGAGGAUGGAAGAGAAUGGAGUGGAAGAUGAGAAGGGUGAGAAGUGUGUAGAAUGAAUCCAGAGCCUUGAAGAAUGAAGAACAUCCUGUUAUAUAGAGAUUCUUCAGGUUUUAAUUGGAAUUAUCCAUGUGAUGUCUUGAAGAUAAAAAAUGCUCGGAUAGUUCGAAGGAUUUUUAUGGGCAGCGACUGAUCACGAAUGGAGAUUGAUAGAGUUUAACCCCUCGUGGCAUAAGCUUAAGCUUUUUUUUUUCUUUUGUAGUUUUUGUACUGCAACUUUGUAACUUUGUAAUGAAUACCUCUCAACAUUGUAAUAAAAUUUGAAUUUCUGAAUU